rnacentral:rRNA from 1 species
UACGUAGGGGGCAAGCGUUAUCCGGAUUUACUGGGUGUAAAGGGAGCGUAGACGGCAGUGCAAGUCCGGAGUGAAAGCCCACGGCUUAACCGUGGGACUGCUCUGGAAACUGUAGAGCUAGAGUGCGGGAGGGGCAGGCGGAAUUCCUAGUGUAGCGGUGAAAUGCGUAGAUAUUAGGAGGAACACCGGCGGCGAAGGCGGCCUGCUGGACCGUAACUGACGUUGAGGCUCGAAAGCGUGGGGAGCAA